GCUGUUGCGCAGCCACUGGUACCUGUAUUGGGGAAACAUAGCCUGCAUGCAAGACGAUUCCAGCCUCGGUGGCCAAGACUUUUUCAUGUCAGAGACCGAAAACUCUUGCAGUUGUUUAUGCCAUCCCUUCUUCUCCAGACAGAAGAUACCAAAAAGUUGUAAUCAAAGAUCUCUCCAUCUUAUUGAUAAGGCUACUAAUAAGCCAAAAUGUCUGUCAACGUCGACUGCAGCAUGUCAGACCAGUGCUAUCACUACAAGAUGCCCCGUCUGAUUGCCAAGGUUGAGGGCAAAGGAAAUGGAAUCAAGACAGUUAUAGCCAACAUGGUUGACGUUGCAAAGGCGCUUAAUCGGCCUCCAACGUAUCCCACCAAAUAUUUUGGUUGUGAGCUGGGAGCACAGACCCAGUUUGAUGUUAAGAAUGACCGCUACAUUGUCAAUGGAUCUCAUGAGGCGAACAAGCUGCAAGACAUGUUGGACGGAUUUAUUAAAAAAUUUGUUCUCUGUCCUGAGUGCGAGAAUCCGGAAACAGAUCUGCAUGUCAAUCCAAAGAAACAAACAAUAGGGAAUUCUUGUAAAGCCUGUGGCUACAGAGGCAUGCUUGACACACAUCAUAAACUCUGCACUUUCAUUCUCAAAAACCCACCUGAGAAUAGUGACAGUGGCACAGUCAAGAAAGAAAAGGAAAAGAAAACCAGAAAGUGCAAGGACAAGGAGAACGGCUCUGUGUCCAGCAGUGAGACGCCACCACCUCCACAUGACAUCAGCCCUCCUCCCCAUGCUCUGGAAGAAGAGGAAGAUGGUGACUGGGGAGAGGAUACAACAGAGGGAGCCAGAGAUGCAGAAUGGAUGAAAUCAGUGACCACGCGAAAGUUCUGACCCUUAGUGAUGAUUUGGAGCGGACCAUUGAAGAACGAGUCAACAUUUUGUUUGAUUUUGUUAAGAAAAAGAAAGAAGAGGGAAUUAUUGAUUCAUCUGACAAAGAGAUUGUUGCUGAAGCAGAAAGGCUGGAUGUGAAAGCUAUGGGUCCUCUUGUUUUGACUGAAGUUCUUUUUAAUGAGAAGAUAAGAGAACAAAUCAAGAAAUACAGGUGCCAUUUUUUACGAUUUUGUCACAACAAUGAAAAAGCUCAGCGGUACCUUCUCCAUGGUUUAGAGUGUGUGGUAGCAAUGCACCAGGCGCAGCUCCUCUCCAAGAUCCCGCACAUCCUGAAGGAGAUGUAUGACGCAGACCUUCUGGAAGAGGAGGUCAUCAUCAGCUGGUCGGAGAAGGCCUCCAAGAAGUAUGUCUCAAAAGAACUUGCCAAAGAGAUCCGUGUGAAAGCAGAACCAUUUAUAAAAUGGUUGAAGGAGGCAGAGGAGGAAUCUUUUGGUGGCGAAGAGGAAGAUGAAGAUGAAAAUAUUGAGGUGGUAUAUUUGAAGACUGCCAGUGUACCUAAAGUUGAAACUGUGAAGUCUGACAACAAAGAUGAUGACAUUGAUAUUGAUGCCAUUUAAAGUGGUGGAUGCAACCUUGCUUCACAGUAUAAUGCUGCAAAAUUUCCUGCAUUAUCAGCCAGAAGUGCAACAUGUAUGUGCAAAAGCUGCAAUGGCUUAACAUCAUGCUACACUUAUUCUAAAAAUGCCCUACUGUGAGUGGUCUGGAAGUAGAGGUCUUGAUGCGACAUCUGGAGUCCAUACAUGUUUGUGAGCAGAUGUAGUUUGCUUAUUUAUAGCAUGUUUCUUUCUGAAAACAUAGCGGUGGACACAUUGGAUCACAUUUAUACAGUUACACAAAAAUAAAGAUUUGUUUUGGUCAUU